CAGCAGCCACGGUAAAACGUAGGGGGCAAGCGUUAUCCGGAAUUACUGGGUGUAAAGGGAGCGUAGACGGCUAAACAAGUCUGAAGUGAAAUGCCGGGGCUCAACCCCGGAGCUGCUUUGGGAACUGUAGAACUGGAGUGUCGGAGGGGUAAGCGGAAUUCCCAGUGUAGCGGUGAAAUGCGUAGAUAUUGGGAGGAACACCGGCGGCGAAGGCGGCUUACUGGACGACAACUGACGUUGAGGCUCGAAGGCGUGGGUAGCAAACAGGAUUAGAUACCCCAGUAGUCCCUGUCUCUUAUAU
rnacentral:rRNA from 1 species